rnacentral:piRNA from 1 species
UGGGGAACUGCUUACAUUGCUCUC